rnacentral:rRNA from 1 species
GACGAACGCUGGCGGCGUGCUUAACACAUGCAAGUCGAACGGCAAGGCCCUGCUUUUGUGGGGUGCUCGAGUGGCGAACGGGUGAGUAACACGUGAGUAACCUGCCCUUGACUUUGGGAUAACUUCAGGAAACUGGGGCUAAUACCGGAUAGGAGCUCCUGCUGCAUGGUGGGGGUUGGAAAGUUUCGGCGGUUGGGGAUGGACUCGCGGCUUAUCAGCUUGUUGGUGGGGUAGUGGCUUACCAAGGCUUUGACGGGUAGCCGGCCUGGGAGGGUGACCGGCCACAUUGGGACUGAGAUACGGCCCAGACUCCAACGGGAGGCAGCAGUGGGGAAUAUUGCACAAUGGGCGGAAGCCUGAGGCAGCAACGCCGCGUGCGUGAUGACGGCCUUCGGGUUGUAAACCGCUUUCGCCUGUGACGAAGCGUGAGUGACGGUAAUGGGUAAAGAAGCACCGGCUAACUACGUG